rnacentral:lncRNA from 1 species
GAAAGCAAUCAUGCUAGGGGUCUGGCUCUCGAGAUUUGGGGAGCAGUGUCUCUUCGAUUUUUGAGAAAGUAAUCAUGUUGGGAGUCUGGCUCUCGAGAUUCGGAGGGCGGUGCCUCUUCGAUUUUGGAGCAAGCAAUCUUGUUGGGAGUGUUUUCUCGAAUGUGAGUAAAGGUUGGGCAUGUUUGCUAGUCUACCUUGCCACGAAGCACAGAGGUUGACACACAAGGACUUUCCAAUUAUCCAGCAAUGGUACUGUUCCUUUACCCUCUCUUCGAUUUUUGAGAAAGUAGUCAUGUUGGGAGUCUGGCUCUCG